AUGCCAGGGCGUCGUCGCCACUCUGUGCCUGCCGCAACGUCAGCCCUCCCAUUUUUGCACUAUCGCCACCACCAACGCGCUAGCCCGUGCAGCCACCUCAAGGGUCCUCCACCACCCAUGCCAUGUCCCAUGUGUGACGCGAGAUCUGCCUCAUCGGGCAAGGACACCAGAACCUUGGCUGCCAUCUCACACGCGUUGGCGUGCACCUCGGUGUGCGAUGAGAAUGAUGCAUGUUCCCAAUGGGACAUCUUUCUUCAGCAAAUUUUAUGUUCUUACAAGGAUAGUUUACAAGAUCGUGGUAUUAUCGUUACAGCUAUCGGUGACAUGGUUUUCAGUAGCCAUGGCGACAUCAGGUGA
rnacentral:rRNA from 1 species